UGUGAACUGACAAGCCCAUGGAUGUCUACAAAGAGUGAACUGAUCACUGUGGGCUGGCCUUUGAGGCAUCAGUGAGGCAUUGUGGCUCUGGAGACCUGGAAGCACUGCUAACUGUUCUCUCGAUUUUCUGACGCUCGGCCACAUCAACCUGUCAUACUAGUUGUGAGGAGAAGUCAAGGACAGUGACACAGCCAGCCAGUCUGAGGCAUUUUCCAUCAUCCUGAAGGAGUUGCCCUAUCCUGCUUUUCACUGGAGGGGGCAUGGAUGGGGAUCCUGGAUGACAAAGCAGUCACCUACUUGAACACUGCUAAUUAUGAAGUCAGAAAGAGGAAAGUUUGCAGAGUUUUGUAUUGGCAAUCAAACAUUCAGCCACAGGUCACAGUCUAGAACCAGACACAUCAGUGUCCUCAACUGCAAAGUAGCCAGGAAGCAGCAUCCCAUAACACAGUCCUAUGUCCACUGUUUUGGAGGGGCUCCUGACACACUGACCUCUGUCAGUUCCUUCAGCACACCAGGCUAAUCCCCAGUCUUGCGCCUUUGGACCAGAGGUUUUCUUUGCUCAGAAUACUGUUUCAACAGAUCUUUGCAUAGCUGGCUCUCGCUAUUUGACUAAAAUGUCAAUCCUCAGAGAGGUACUCCUUAAAUAUCCAAUCUUAAG
rnacentral:lncRNA from 10 species